GUCCCUAAAGAGGUUUAAUCAGUGAAUAACAUGUUGUGUCCCUGAUGGCAUUAUUCUUCCUAUUUUUUGCUGUCAUAAUACACUGUACAGUCCAAGGGACCUUGAUCAUCUGGACAUUCCUUUAAACGUUGAGCUGGUCCACCAUAUUGAUGAGAUGAUACUGUGUUAAUUCAACCUGAGGAGCAAGAAGGGGCAAAUUCUAUGAACGCUUAGGCAAGAAACACUGACGCCUGAGGUUAGAAGCUCCAUUGUCUUGACCAAUAUUCCAAUUAUCUACUCGGAUCUGCUGCAGUGGUGAAAGACAAAGACAAAACACGCUUUCAGCCUGUGCUCACUCAGUGGUGGAACAGAAACCUUUGAGGUCCCAGGUCAAAUUUCUCCUCUCCACCAAUUUCAGUGCACUUGUGAGGACUUCAUUUUCUGAAUGGAUAGCUUUUGUAGCCUGUUUUGUUUAUUUGAUAUUUACUGUAUUAUUGUCUUGUAUAUGGGUAUUCAUUGCAGAAAAUUUUCUAUUAAAGAUGAAAGACA
rnacentral:lncRNA from 1 species